AGCAUAUUAUUAAGCGGAGGAAAAGAAACUAACAAGGAUGCCCUCAGUAACGGCGAGUGAAGCGGGCAAAGCUCAACCUGAAAAUCGGAUUCCCAAACGGGAUUUCGAAUUGUGGGCUACAGACGCGAGAUCAGCGUGUUACCCUGGUAUAAGUGAGUCUUAUUGGAAUACUACAUCAUAGAGGGUGAAAAUCCCGUCUGUGACCAGGAGUUAGCCGCGUACGAUCCGUGUUCGCAGAGUCGCGUUGUUUGGGAUUGCAGCGCUAAAUGGGAGGUAAAUUUCUUCUAAAGCUAAAUAUCGACGAGAGACCGAUAGCGAACAAGUACCGUGAGGGAAAGAUGAAAAGAACUUUGAAAAGAGAGUUAAAAAGUACUUGAAAUUGCUAAGAAGGAAGCACUGGAAACCAGUCAUGUUUGCGUACAAAAACUUUCGUUCCUCGCGUGGAUUGGUGUGGAGAGCCCAAAGCCUCCUAAUUAGUUCACAAAAGCGCGUUUGUAGCUGUCCGUAAACAGAGUCAGAAUCAAUUUGAUCCGAAAGAGAAAGCUAUGAUAACGGUAGGACCUCUGCAGCAAUGUAGUUGGUCUGUUUAGUAUUGUAGUGCUAUUUUGGGUUAGAUUGAGGUACCAUCUUAGUGCGGAUCGUGGUUCCCUGCGUCUGGGAGCAGAGGGAGAUUGGACAACAAAGUUGUGCGUUUCCUGAAGUUCCUACUACAAAGGAUGAAUCAGCUGCAGCACUCGAGAUUCUGACGAAAUGGUUUUCAUUGACCCGUCU
rnacentral:rRNA from 1 species